AACCUAUCUCACUUGUCCUGAACAAAGGCUGCUUGCUGCCUGUGAUCGGAAGAUAUGCUUGCAAAAUCUUUGGGGUUUUGGUACCAGUCUCGAACAAGAAAACUUGUUCACCUCGAGAGGCAAGAAUGGGAAAAAAAGAAAGAAAGAAAGAAAUAUGCCCAAGAACUGUUCUCCUGCCCGUUUCGAAACGCCUCGAUGUAAAAAAAACUCUACUAGUUGACCUCGCUUCCUCCGAGGCACGAUCCAUGGCUAUGGCUGAGGGCCAGCGGCGGUCUGGGCCCGGCCGGCACCAAACCAAAAUUGGUGGGCACGCAAGCAGGGC
rnacentral:misc_RNA from 1 species